CACUCUCUUUAUACACCUACCCUUGCAUUAAGCCUACUGCCCUAUUAUAAAGCUCUUUCACAACGAGUCUUCCCUGAAUGUCUCGUCCGCUUACGUACUCCCACAAUAUUUGCCACACCUACUUGUGUUUACCCUAUUAUAUUAGCUAUAUUUACGUUCUUGCGAAUAUACAAUGUAAUUGUACUCAGUAAGGCUUUUUACGCCUAUUACCUAGUGGAUUGGUGGACUCAUGGCCACCCGCGGUUUUUAUCCCUUUCGGGUUUUCCGCGUCACCAUCUCUUGUCUUGUCUCUCUUUAUUUCCGCCCUUUAUUUCAUGUCAUUUACAUACUUUAUUUUAUCUAGUCGUCUAUGUCCCAACCAAAGGUCGUCCAUACGAAAUUUGGCAUAAACAGUUUGGCGCCGUCUGUGGGGAGAUGGCUAGAUUUAUCUUCAAACACAUAUCCACAAAUAUCCUCUCAAACACAAUAUCCGACCCACUUGGGUUCACCAAUAAAGUUGUCGCCAGGCUAUGGAUUGUUGUCAUACUUUGUCGCCACCAUGAGAUGGAGCUACGUCAGGGUGCAUGUCGUCGCCAGAUCAGGUGUCGACAUCAGCAGGUGUCAUCGCUAGAAGUGACGCGUCUGAGUGGUCGAAUUCAACCUAGAUGAUGCAUAUCGUGACAACAACGACACCAACGCUUGAUGACAUCGAAAAUAGACGUCACGGACCAUCAUGCAGAUGUCACCACAAACAAGAUACAAUAUGAGUUGUCUCGUACCUUGAUAAGAUCUCGAGACGAUUUGACACUUGACGUCGCGAGAAGUAUGGUAUAAAACUCAACCCCAGUGAUUUUAAUUUAAACUAAUAUUGUUUCUAGUCCUUGUUGUCACUAAAACAGAUGCGAACACGUGACGUCAUCCACCAAUGACAUGACGUCAACAUAGUUUCAUCCGACGUGACCUCCACAUCAGUCGACGACGUCUCCAAAAACGAAGGCGACAAAUGGAGAUUCAACAACAAAUUGUCGGCAAUACUAGAUUUUGUGGCUAACUUCAGUCCAAGUAUCAAAUAGGAGAAUUUGUAGUUGUCCUGAAGUCGCCACAGGGGAGCAUAUAGUAUACUCUAUCUCAUUUAAUUUUCAUAUAGUAUACUUGAUUUGCUUUUUAUAUAGUAUACUUUGCUUGUUUUAAUUUCCAAAAGCACUUUGAAAUAUAUGCUAUACGUUGUUAUCCUACCUUUUGUACUAACAUCGUCACCACUUGUCGUUUGAUCAUGUCGUGUCGCCAAGUAUUGUCUUGUCUACAGGUAUUGACGUGUCGCUUGGCUAGGUCAUGAGUACAUCAGGGGACCGACGUUAGAAUGCAGGUGACAAGGUACUGUCUUGUCUAUAGGUACUGACGUGUCGCUUGGCAAGGUCGUGAGUAAAGCAGGCGACCAACGUUAGAAGUGUUACACGAGGUCACGACACGACAUGAGGUCACGACGAUACAACAUGACGCCACGACAGCAGGACGCGACCAUUCUGGUUACCCCUAUGACGACAAGAAGUUUCUCGGCGUUAAACAUGGUACGUAGAAGUGAUUAUCGAACAUCUUUAUUUUAACAAUAUAUUUCUUCGUAAGUUCGCCAACAGAUCGUUGAUUGAUACAUGAAUAUCAAUGGGGGCUAAAGGUACGAACAUACUUUCGAAGUGAGUUAUCUUUUAUUUAUAAUAUACACGUAUUGUCGCUGCCACGUACAUCGCAGAUCGUGAGGGUCAUCAACACAAUCGAAUGGUAUGAGUGACUCAAUUCAUUUAUUAGUGACGUCAAAAUUUUAUAAACUAACACCUCAUAUCCUAUUGAAAUUUUCUCAUAUAUCAUCCGUGAUAACUAUUUUUCAUUUACUAACGACAUGCCGCGACUAUACGCGUUAGUAUGUAUAUUAAUGACAACAGAUUACCUUGAUCAUGACGGUAUGCCCCGACGCCACGAGAUGGCAAUGACCGAUGACACGACGCCACCAGACUACCGAGAAAGCUAAGGAAAUCGGAAUGUCGAAUAAUCAUCAUCAAUGAUCAUGAUGACACAUGAGUAACUUCUAAACUAUUUUUCACACACUUUCUCAUUUCAAUUCAUUCAUUGUUGUUCUCUUGUAUUAAUAUGUCUCGUAUUCAACGCUCAUCAAGUUAACUAAUAAAUUUUUGCAUCGCACCAUGAAUGUCUCAAUUUUUCUAAUGACUAAACCAUUUUAUCAAAUCGUUUUGAGGUAAUUUGACUUGACACAUGAGACGUUUAGAGGUUGCAUCAUGCUGGCACGCAUGUACGAAGUCAAAUAUAAACGAACGUCAUCAUAUCUGUGGCCGACUUCAGUCAUGAUAUCUUCCUAAAGCCGCCACAGGGGGGCAAGAUAGUACAUACUCCCGUUCAGUUUAAUAUACUUGUUACAACUUUGAAGUUUAACUGACGAUGUGAUACAAUUUAUUUUCAUGAUGAUCUUGUCGUAAGAUUUUGGUAACAGGUACGAUGCUAAGACAAAUGUACGAACACUGGGGGCUCAACCACUAUCACAUGUCGAAAUAGGCGGAUAAAGAAAAUUCAUUGGGUUUCCCAAAGACGACAAGUGAUAAGACGUCAACCGAUUAACAAGAAAGGUAAUUUAUAAAGAGUUCACAUGUAUUUGAAUUUACGACAUAUUGUAAUGUAAGUUUGUCAAAUGAUUUUACCAAAGACGUUAAGAAAAAGUCCACUUCUUAAGACAGUAUAAGGAAUUCACAUUAACCAUAUGUUCUUUCUUGUGCCACAUUGCGAGGAUCAACCAAUAAGUCGACCAACGUUGGAAUGGACAAUGUCAAGACCAGCGAUGCGUCAUCAUUCAACAUGACGGUACGACGCCAGAUGUGACGACGAUGGUACAAGCGAUGGCAAUGAUCUCAGGAACGAAAACAAGAUCGGCCACGAGAGGUGUCACGACAUCAGGACAAUGCUGUUGAUUGUAGAAUCGUCAUCAAGGGACAGUCAACGACUCGACGUAAUUUCGUUACAUGAGCCCAUAUUAAGUAAUAUCUAACACUUACUUCGUGCGUUAAUUAAUUUAUUACAUUUUUUACUACACUGCGAUUAAAGUUCAAUUUCAGUUUUUGUUAUUUGUCGCA